GACGAACGCUGGCGGCGUGCUUAACACAUGCAAGUCACGGGGGGUCCGGGGGCAACUCCGGAUAACCGGCGAACGGGUGCGUAAACACGUGAACAACCUGCCCUCGUGUGGGGGAUAGCCAUGCUAACGCGUGGGUAAUACCGCAUACGUUCUCUUCGGGGAGUCCCGAGGGGAGGAAAGCUCCGGCGCACGGGGGAGGGGUUCGCGGCCUAUCAGCUUGUUGGCGGGGUAACGGCCCACCAAGGCGACGACGGGUAGCUGGUCUGAGAGGAUGGCCAGCCACAUUGGGACUGAGAGACGGCCCAGACUCCUACGGGAGGCAGCAGUGGGGAAUCUUGCGCAAUGGUCGAAAGACUGACGCAGCGACGCCGCGUGUGGGAGGACGCCUUUCGGGUGUAAACACUGUUGCCGGGACGAACUUCUGGUUCGACAGACUGACGGUACCGGGUGAGGAAGCACCGC
rnacentral:rRNA from 1 species